ensembl:rRNA 5S_rRNA 5S ribosomal RNA
GUCUCAGGCCGUAUCAGCCUGAAGGCGCCCGAUCUCGUCUGAUCUCGGAAGCUAAGCAGGGUCGGGCCUGGUUAGGAUCUUGGAUGGGAGACAACCUGGGAAUCCCGGGUGCUCGAGGCU